rnacentral:tRNA from 1 species
UGUAGCUCAGUGGUAAAGCAUUUGCCUAACAUGCAUGAGGCCCUGGGUUCAAUCCCCAGUA